UGGGGAGCAAACAGGAUUAGAUACCCUGGUAGUCCACGCCGUAAACGAUGUCUACUUGGAGGCUGUGCCCUUGAGGCGUGGCUUCCGGAGCUAACGCGUUAAGUAGACCGCCUGGGGAGUACGGCCGCAAGGUUAAAACUCAAAUGAAUUGACGGGGGCCCGCACAAGCGGUGGAGCAUGUGGUUUAAUUCGAUGCAACGCGAAGAACCUUACCUACUCUUGACAUCCAGAGAACUUAGCAGAGAUGCUUUGGUGCCUUCGGGAACUCUGAGACAGGUGCUGCAUGGCUGUCGUCAGCUCGUGUUGUGAAAUGUUGGGUUAAGUCCCGCAACGAGCGCAACCCUUAUCCUUUGUUGCCAGCGAUUCGGUCGGGAACUCAAAGGAGACUGCCAGUGAUAAACUGGAGGAAGGUGGGGAUGACGUCAAGUCAUCAUGGCCCUUACGAGUAGGGCUACACACGUGCUACAAUGGCGCAUACAAAGAGAAGCGACCUCGCGAGAGCAAGCGGACCUCAUAAAGUGCGUCGUAGUCCGGAUUGGAGUCUGCAACUCGACUCCAUGAAGUCGGAAUCGCUAGUAAUCGUGGAUCAGAAUGCCACGGUGAAUACGUUCCCGGGCCUUGUACACACCGCCCGUCACACCAUGGGAGUGGGUUGCAAAAGAAGUAGGUAGCUUAACCUUCGGGAGGGCGCUUACCACUUUGUGAUUCAUGACUGGGGUGAAGUCGUAACAAGGUAACCGUAGGGGAACCUGCGGUUG
rnacentral:rRNA from 1 species